rnacentral:rRNA from 1 species
GACGGAGGAUGCAAGUGUUAUCCGGAAUCACUGGGCGUAAAGAGUCUGUAGGUGGUCAAAUAAGUCAACUGUUAAAUCUUGAGGCUCAACCUCAAAACCGCAGUCGAAACUAUUAGACUAGAGUAUAGUAGGGGUAAAGGGAAUUUCCAGUGGAGCGGUGAAAUGCGUAGAGAUUGGAAAGAACACCGAUGGCGAAGGCACUUUACUGGGCUAUUACUAACACUCAGAGACGAAAGCUAGGGUAGCAAAUGGG